UGGGCUUAGUAUUUAUCAUUAUUUUGUUUAAUUUUUGCUUCGGCUCAUGUGCUCAAGAAUCUGUGAUCCUGUAAAAAAAGAAUAGAAUAUUAAAUGGGGCUUGAGAGUCUAUUACCAUGGAGGUUAUAUAUUCUAUUUGAGAGCCUUUGGAUUUUAUUGACUCUUUAUUUUCUAUCUCAGUUAGGACUUAUUUUUGCUUUAUAUUGGCCUGAUUUUGACUCC
rnacentral:lncRNA from 1 species